AAUCAUCGAGUCUUUGAACGCAAGUUGCGCCCGAGGCUUGUCCAAGGGCAUUUCCGCUAGAGCGUCACC
rnacentral:rRNA from 1 species